UGGGGAAUUUUGGACAAUGGGCGCAAGCCUGAUCCAGCCAUGCCGCGUGUGGGAAGAAGGCCUUCGGGUUGUAAACCGCUUUUGUCAGGGAAGAAAUCUUCUGAGUUAAUACCUCGGGAGGAUGACGGUACCUGAAGAAUAAGCACCGGCUAACUACGUGCCAGCAGCCGCGGUAAUACGUAGGGUGCAAGCGUUAAUCGGAAUUACUGGGCGUAAAGCGUGCGCAGGCGGUUUUGUAAGACAGAGGUGAAAUCCCCGGGCUCAACCUGGGAACUGCCUUUGUGACUGCAAGGCUUGAGUGCGGCAGAGGGGGAUGGAAUUCCGCGUGUAGCAGUGAAAUGCGUAGAUAUGCGGAGGAACACCGAUGGCGAAGGCAAUCCCCUGGGCCUGCACUGACGCUCAUGCACGAAAGCGUGGGGAGCAAACAGGAUUAGAUACCCUGGUAGUCCACGCCCUAAACGAUGUCAACUGGUUGUUGGGAAGGUUCCUUCUCAGUAACGUAGCUAACGCGUGAAGUUGACCGCCUGGGGAGUACGGCCGCAAGGUUGAAACUCAAAUGAAUUGACGGAGUCAUAGCUGUUUCCUG
rnacentral:rRNA from 1 species